ensembl:lncRNA
GCUCUUCAGAGAACCAGAGCCAUGCACAGUGGUAGCUCAUGAGCCAUAUCCAACAUAUUUUGUUUGGUUCACACAGUGUUAAUUUUUUUUUUAAUUGGCUGCCAACAUUUUUAAAAAUCAAGAGAUAUCUCUUAAAUUUUGUAAUUUCUGGCUUCCCUUGAAAAAUCAGAAAAUUUGGCAGUACUCAGCCUGUGCGCUCACAUGGUUCCCAGCUGACUUCAUCUGAAUGGCAGUGACUUCAUUGGCUCAGGCUGGUGGUCAGAAUAAGGAGAAGAAGGAGAAGAAAAGGAAGAGGAGGAGGAGGAGAAAUGCCAAUACCAGGGCUUUGAUGGGAAAUCCAGAAGAAAGAAUGUGUGAGGGAAGAAGAUGACAUCUGUGCCUGGCCAACAAAAUCCAAAGAUUAUUCCAGUGAAAACAAAAGGAAGGCGAGACUGAACUUUCUAGUUCAAGUGAAAUUAACGAGAGGAUUGUAAUUUCUGCGUGCUGGCCCCUGGCAGCAAGGACUACCCUGCAGCCAUCCAGGACACGGACUCUGCCUCUCACCACCUGUGUGACUGCGGUGAAAAUGAUGUGUCUUCCUUUGCCUUGGUUUCCACAACUAGAAGAGGAUGGGUAGAUGAAAUGAGCUAAAAGAAACGAGGCACUUGGACAAAGGCCAAGCGUAUAAAGAGUGCUCAGUAGUUAUUGGCUGAUUUACUUUCAUCGAAUGAAGUAUACUUCGAAAAUAGACAUUUUCAGUUGUUUGUUUUUUGGGAAGUAGAGAUGUGGGAAAGCCCAAAAGACAUCAGGGAAGCGGAGGGUGAUAUGUCUAACCCUGGGCUUAUCUGUAGUGUCCGAGAGGCUGUCACAGGGACUGCCGGGCACCAGGCUGAGAUGCAGGACAGUUACAGGGGUGCUCGAUGCAUUUCUCAGAUUCUUACUGAUUUCAGUACCUUGAGAAGUGUUGGAGAAUAUAGACUUAAAUGAUGUCGGAGCUUCUGAAAUCACAAAUGGGAUCAGCUCCACCCUUGGCUGUAAUCUGUAAAACUUGGUGUGACUUGACCCGCCCUGACUGUCCUCCCAGCCCGACCCCGGUAGUGCCUUGUGCUCACUCUUACCU